AAAGGGUGCGUAGGCGGCCUGUUAAGUCAGGGGUGAAAGACGGUAGCUCAACUAUCGCAGUGCCCUUGAUACUGAUGGGCUUGAAUGGACUAGAGGUAGGCGGAAUGAGACAAGUAGCGGUGAAAUGCAUAGAUAUGUCUCAGAACACCGAUUGCGAAGGCAGCUUACUAUGGUCUUAUUGACGCUGAGGCACGAAAGCGUGGGGAUCAAACAGGAUUAGAUACCCGGGU
rnacentral:rRNA from 1 species